rnacentral:rRNA from 1 species
GAUGGAUAGGGGUUCUGAGAGGAAGGUCCCCCACAUUGGAACUGAGACACGGUCCAAACUCCUACGGGAGGCAGCAGUGAGGAAUAUUGGUCAAUGGACGAGAGUCUGAACCAGCCAAGUAGCGUGAAGGAUGACUGCCCUAUGGGUUGUAAACUUCUUUUAUACGGGAAUAAAGUUAGCCACGUGUGGCUUUUUGUAUGUACCGUAUGAAUAAGGAUCGGCUAACUCCGUGCCAGCAGCCGCGGUAAUACGGAGGAUCCGAGCGUUAUCCGGAUUUAUUGGGUUUAAAGGGAGCGUAGGCGGGUUGUUAAGUCAGUUGUGAAGUUUGCGGCUCAACCGUAAAAUUGCAGUUGAUACUGGCGACCUUGAGUGCAACAGAGGUAGGCGGAAUUCGUGGUGUAUGCGGUGAAAUGCUUAGAUAU